GAUGAACGCUGGCGGCGUGCCUAAUACAUGCAAGUCGAGCGAACAGACGAGGAGCUUGCUCCUUUGACGUUAGCGGCGGACGGGUGAGUAACACGUAGGUAACCUACCUAUAAGACUGGGAUAACUUCGGGAAACCGGAGCUAAUACCGGAUAAUAUUUUGAACCGCAUGGUUCGAUAGUGAAAGAUGGCUUUGCUAUCACUUAUAGAUGGACCUGCGCCGUAUUAGCUAGUUGGUAAGGUAACGGCUUACCAAGGCAACGAUACGUAGCCGACCUGAGAGGGUGAUCGGCCACACUGGAACUGAGACACGGUCCAGACUCCUACGGGAGGCAGCAGUAGGGAAUCUUCCGCAAUGGGCGAAAGCCUGACGGAGCAACGCCGCGUGAGUGAUGAAGGUCUUCGGAUCGUAAAACUCUGUUAUUAGGGAAGAACAAACGUGUAAGUAACUGUGCACGUCUUGACGGUACCUAAUCAGAAAGCCACGGCUAACUACGUG
rnacentral:rRNA from 1 species